AACGAACGCUGGCGGCAGGCCUAACACAUGCAAGUCGAACGCUCCGCAAGGGGAGUGGCGCACGGGUGAGUAACACGUGGGAACCUACCUUCUGGUACGGAACAACCAAGGGAAACUUUGGCUAAGACCGUAUACGACCUCCGGGUGAAAGAUUGAUCGCCGGAAGAGGGGCCCGCGUCCGAUUAGGUAGUUGGUGAGGUAACGGCUCACCAAGCCUUCGAUCGGUAGCUGGUCUGAGAGGAUGACCAGCCACACUGGGACUGAGACACGGCCCAGACUCCUACGGGAGGCAGCAGUGGGGAAUAUUGGACAAUGGGCGCAAGCCUGAUCCAGCCAUGCCGCGUGAGUGAUGAAGGCC
rnacentral:rRNA from 1 species